CCUACGGGUGGCAGCAGUGAGGAAUAUUGGUCAAUGGACGAGAGUCUGAACCAGCCAAGUAGCGUGAAGGAUGACUGCCCUAUGGGUUGUAAACUUCUUUUAUAUGGGAAUAAAAUAUUCCACGUGUGGGAUUUUGUAUGUACCAUAUGAAUAAGGAUCGGCUAACUCCGUGCCAGCAGCCGCGGUAAUACGGAGGAUCCGAGCGUUAUCCGGAUUUAUUGGGUUUAAAGGGAGCGUAGGUGGAUUGUUAAGUCAGUUGUGAAAGUUUGCGGCUCAACCGUAAAAUUGCAGUUGAAACUGGCAGUCUUGAGUACAGUAGAGGUGGGCGGAAUUCGUGGUGUAGCGGUGAAAUGCUUAGAUAUCACGAAGAACUCCGAUUGCGAAGGCAGUUCACUGGACUGCAACUGACACUGAGGCUCGAAAGUGUGGGUAUCAAACAGGAUUAGAUACCCGUGUAGUC
rnacentral:rRNA from 1 species